UGAAAAGCCCCCGGCUCAACCGGGGAGGGUCAUUUGGAAAACUGGGGAAACUUUGAGUGCAGAAGAGGAGAGUGGAAUUUCCACGUGUAGCGGUGAAAUGCGUAGAGAUGUGGAGGAACACCAGUGGCGAAGGCGACUCUCUGGUCUGUAACUGACGCUGAGGAGCGAAAGCGUGGGGAGCGAACAGGAUUAGAUACCCUGGUAGUCCACGCCGUAAACGAUGAGUGCUAAGUGUUAGGGGGUUUCCGCCCCUUAGUGCUGCAGCUAACGCAUUAAGCACUCCGCCUGGGGAGUACGGUCGCAAGACUGAAACUCAAAGGAAUUGACGGGGGCCCGCACAAGCGGUGGAGCAUGUGGUUUAAUUCGAAGCAACGCGAAGAACCUUACCAGGUCUUGACAUGCUCUGACAAUCCUAGAGAUAGGACGUCCCCUUCGGGGGCAGAGUGACAGGUGGUGCAUGGUUGUCGUCAGCUCGUGUCGUGAGAUGUUGGGUUAAGUCCCGCAACGAGCGCAACCCUUGAUCUUAGUUGCCAGCAUUCAGUUGGGCACUCUAAGGUGACUGCCGGUGACAAACCGGAGGAAGGUGGGGAUGACGUCAAAUCAUCAUGCCCCUUAUGACCUGGGCUACACACGUGCUACAAUGGACAGAACAAAGGGCAGCGAAACCGCGAGGUUAAGCCAAUCCCACAAAUCUGUUCUCAGUUCGGAUCGCAGUCUGCAACUCGACUGCGUGAAGCUGGAAUCGCUAGUAAUCGCGGAU
rnacentral:rRNA from 1 species